rnacentral:rRNA from 1 species
AUAUUAAAGUUGUUGCAGUUAAAAAGCUCGUAGUUGGAGUUCAGAUUGAGCUCGGCCGGUCGGCCUAAUUGGUCAGAACUGGUUGACUCUGUCUUGUUUGUGGAUCCCUCCGGAGUUAACUCUUCGGAUGUGGAGUCCACAUCGUUUACCUUGAAAAAAUUAGAGUGUUCAAAGCAGGCGUUUGCUUGAAUAUAUUAGCAUGGAAUAAUGGAAUAGGACGCUGGUUCUAUUUUGUUGGUUUUGAGAACCAGAGUAAUGAUUAAUAGGGACAGUUGGGGGCAUUCAUAUUUCAUUGUCAGAGGUGAAAUUCUUGGAUUUAUGAAAGAUGAACUUCUGCGAAAGCAUUUGCCAAGGAUGUUUUCAUUAAUCAAGAACGAAAGUUAGGGGAUCGAAGACGAUCAGAUACCGUCGUAGUCUUAACCAUAAACUAUGCCGACUAGGGAUUGGACGUGGUUUGUUCAUUGACCCGUUCAGCACCUUACGAGAAAUCAAAGUCUUUGGGUUCCGGGGGGAGUAUGGUCGCAAGGCUGAAACCUAAAGGAAU